UUCCUAGUAAGCGCGUGUCAUCAGCUCGUGUUGACUACGUCCCUGCCCUUUGUACACACCGCCCGUCGCUCCUACCGAUUGAAUGAUCCGGUGAAGUGUUCGGAUAGCAUCAACGAGGGUGGUUCGCCACCGACGAUGUCAUGAGAAGUUCACUGAACCUUAUCAUUUAGAGGAAGGAGAAGUCAUAACAAGGUUACCGUAGGUGAACCUGCGGUAGGAUCAUUG
rnacentral:ncRNA from 1 species